AACCCUGAUGCAGCUAUACCGUGUGUGUGAAGAAGGCCUUAGGGUUGUAAAGCACUUUCAAUGGGGAAGAAUUUAAUAUUGCUAAUAUCGAUAUUAGUUGACGCUACCUAUAUAAGAAGCACCGGCUAACUCCGUGCCAGCAGCCGCGGUAAUACGGAGGGUGCAAGCGUUAAUCGGAAUUACUGGGCGUAAAGAGUACGUAGGUGGUUUGUUAAGUCAGAUGUGAAAUCCCUGAGCUUAACUUAGGAACUGCAUUUGAAACUAAUAAACUAGAGUUUCGUAGAGGGGGGUAGAAUUCCAGGUGUAGCGGUGAAAUGCGUAGAGAUCUGGAGGAAUACCAGUGGCGAAGGCGACCCCCUGGACGGAAACUGACACUCAGGUACGAAAGCAUGGGGAGCAAACAGGAUUAGAUACCCUGGUAGUCCAUGCCGUAAACGAUGUCGAUUUGAA
rnacentral:rRNA from 1 species